rfam:Schistosoma mattheei strain Denwood, Zambia genome assembly, scaffold: SMTD_scaffold0010217
AUUUAGCUGAAGAGCCUCGAACAGGACGAAACGCGCAUCCUGAAU